UGCCGGGUCGUCUAAUGGUAGGACUCCAGGUUUUGGUCCUGGCUAUCGGGGUUCGAAUCCCUGCCCGGCAGCCA
rnacentral:tRNA from 1 species